GCAGGUGUGGCUCCUGUGAGGAGCUUCUAGAAGCUUCCCCGGCUCCAGGUGGGACCCGCCGCUGGCCCGGGCCGAGCCCAUCUGCAAAGGUGGU